rnacentral:snRNA from 1 species
AUUGCUUCUUGGCCUUUUGGAUAAGAUCAAAUGUAGUAUCUGUUCUUAUCAGUCUCAUAUCUGAUAUGUCCUUUAUCCAAGGACAAUAUAUAUAUAUAUUUUUUUUAAACAUUUAUUUAUUAUUAUAUGUAAGUACACUAUAGCUGUCUUCAGACACACCAGAAGAAGGUGUCAGAUCU